UACACACCGCCCGUCACACCAUGGGAGUUGAUUGCACCAGAAGUAGUUAGCCUAACCGCAAGGGGGGCGAUUACCACGGUGUGGUCAAUGACUGGGGUG
rnacentral:rRNA from 1 species